rnacentral:rRNA from 1 species
AUUGAACGCUGGCGGCAGGCCUAACACAUGCAAGUCGAACGAGUGGCGGACGGGUGAGUAAUGUCUGGGAAACUGCCCGAUGGAGGGGGAUAACUACUGGAAACGGUAGCUAAUACCGCAUACCAUCGGAUGUGCCCAGAUGGGAGUAGCUUGUGGGGGAGGUAACGGCUCACCUAGGCGACGAUCCCUAGCUGGUCUGAUAGGAUGACCAACCACACUGGAACUGAGACACGGUCCAGACUCCUAGGGUAGGCAGCAGUGGUGAGUAUUGCACAAUGGGCGCAAACGUGAUGCAGACAUGCCGCGUGUAUGAAGAAGGCCGUCGGGUUGUAAAGUACUUUCAGCGGGGAGGCGUUACCCGCAGAAGAAGCACCGGCUAACUCCGUGCCAGCAGCCGCGGUAAUUC